rnacentral:rRNA from 1 species
AGGCCCUACGGGGCGCAGCAGGCGCGAAACCUCCGCAAUGCACGCAAGUGCGACGGGGGAACCCCAAGNGCCACUCUUAACGGGGNGGCUUUUCAGAAGUGUAAAAAGCUUCUGGAAUAAGGGCUGGGCAAGACCGGUGCCGGCCGCCGCGGCAACACCGGCAGCUCAAGUGGUAGCCGCUUUUAUUGGGCCUAAAGCGUCCGUAGCCGGUCCGAUAAGUCUCUGGUGAAAUCCCGCAGCUUAACUGUGGGAAUUGCUGGAGAUACUAUCAUGACUCGAGGUCGGGAGAGGCUGGAGGUACUCCCAGGGUAGGGGUGAAAUCCUGUAAUCCUGGGAGGACCACCUGUGGCGAAGGCGUCCAGCUGGAACGAACCUGACGGUGAGGGACGAAAGCCAGGGGCGCGAACCGGAUUAGAUACCCGGGUAGUCCUGGCCGUAAACGAUGUGGACUUGGUGUUGGGAUGGCUUCGAGCUGCCCCAGUGCCGAAGGGAAGCUGUUAAGUCCACCGCCUGGGAAGUACGGCCGCAAGGCUGAAACUUAAAGGAAUUGGCGGGGGAGCACCACAACGCGCGGAGCCUGCGGUUUAAUUGGAUUCAACGCCGGG